GCUUUAUGGAAAAUUCAUCGAAAUCAAUAAAUUGUGUUCUGCUGAUUUACCGUUAGAAACUAAAAUGAAGAUGCUGAAUUUCAUGAAAAGGUAUGGUAAAACUCCAUUUGGAGUAAGCAUCGGCGGAUUCUUUUACGUUAAGAAGAACUUCUUUAUUCGAUGUUUGAGUGCCAUAUAUUCAGCGCUGUCCGUCUUGACUGAACUUCUAAUUGCAAAGAAGCCGUCUUCUUGUAAAAUUAAGAUUGGAGACUUAAUACAAUAACGGUAUUUUGCCUCACAGGCUGACUGAAUGACUGAAGUCAAAGCUUGAAUGUGAGUAGACUUAAUACAGAAAAAUGAAAUAUUGCAUUCGAAAAAGGACGUCCAAAGUAGAUAUAUAAAAACAUCUGAAAUCUCAAAAAGUCAACGUCUAACGAAACGUCAAAAUUUGAAUCUCGACUCUCUUGAAGAAUAUACAUUCUGUUGACAUUUCAUUUAAGCGUUACCUGCCUAAUUUUCUUAAUUUUAUGAUAUUAGUUAUUUAUUACUUUGUUCAGCUUAAAUGUAGAUUCGUCUGACAGAAAUGUAAAACGCUGUCUAAGAAUGAGGACGAAAGAAUUUCGACUGACUCGACAGAACAAUUGAUUCUGUCAUAUAUUAAACCUGAUAAAAAAAAAAUUGAUGUCUAGAAAAGUAUUUCAUUUUUCGCCUUAACUACAAUUUUUUCUGAUCAUAAAUUUUAGAAGAACGACUGGUGAAUAUCCAGUUCUGAAUGGAAAAGACUGAUACUUCACUUUCAGAGUUUGAUUCCUGGAUGUCUGUACUUAAAGAUGAAGAAAAUAGACGGUUACACUAGUUUAUAAAAUAGUAAUGCAUUUGAAUGCAUGAAGAAGUGUUGCUUAGAUUUAUUAAAAGUGUGUUAAAGUUGGAAGAUAAAGAAAGAAAAUACAGUGAUUACUGGUCUUACAUGUAAUAAAAGUGAUGAAGAGAACCUAAUUUUAGUGCAAAAUUUAAUUUAAAAUACAGUCGAACCUCGGCUUUCGAACAGAAUUCGUUUGUAAAAGUUGUUCUAAAACUCAAACAAAUAAGAAACAGCAUAAAAUGGAUUUAUUCGGUUUUGAUUUCCAAAGUGAAAUUUUUUAAAACU